rnacentral:rRNA from 1 species
CCCUUAGAUGUCCUGGGCCGCACGCGUGCUACACUGACGCCUACAGCGAGUACUUCCCAGCCCCGAGAGGUGGCUGGUAAUCAGCAAUAGGCGUCGCGAUGGGGAUAGAUCUUUGGAAUUAUGGAUCUUGAACGAGGAAUGCCUAGUAAGCGCAGGUCAUUAGCCUGCGCUGAUUAAGUCCCUGCCCUUUGUACACACCGCCCGUCGCUCCUACCGAUUUCGAGUGGUCCGGUGAAUCUUUCGGACUGCGCGCGGCCUCGUGCCGUGUCGCGGAAAGUCAGGUAAACCUUAUCACUUAGAGGAAGGAGAAGUCGUAACA